rnacentral:rRNA from 1 species
CGGUCCAGACUCCUACGGGAGGCAGCAGUGGGGAAUUUUGGACAAUGGGGGAAACCCUGAUCCAGCAAUGCCGCGUGUGUGAAGACGGCCUUCGGGUUGUAAAGCACUUUUGUCAGGGAAGAAAUCCUUUGGGCUUAUACCCUAAGGGGCUGACGGUACCUGAAGAAUAAGCACCGGCUAACUACGUGCCAGCAGCCGCGGUAA